ACGGGGAGCUCGAGGGGGAAAACAGAAAGGGAAAAGAAAGGAAGGGGAAAGAGGGAAGGCAGGGGAAAAACGGAGAACAGGGAGAAAGAGUGAUGGAACAGAGUAAGAAGAGAGGAAGGAGGAUCGCUAUUGUCUCUGGAAGGUUGUCACUGACGUCGAACAGAACAGGGGAGAGGAGCGCGAAUUGGAAGAGGAAAGGGAGCUCUGUUGUGGGCUCGUUGCCAGGAAAAGAAGAGGCGAUGUUGGUGGGGAUCGCCGCUGGUGUCGUCGCCGUGACUGGGGUUCGUGGUCGCUACUGCUGUUGGUGACGGACUAGGUCGCGUCCUAGCUGCCGGAGCCGCCAUCACCGUGGCUUUGUUACUUUGGGUCAACCAUGUCUCUGCCUUUGAUGUACCUUGUCGUGCCAUAUCCGUUGGAGCUGCCGUGGUUGGAGCUUGCUAUCAGAGAAAACAAUUUGCUGCCACCAUCUUUCAAUCUGGCCAGCAUCAUCCUCUUUGUUCCAGUCCCAAUGCCAAUUUUCUGUUUCUUAAACCUUUGUCAGUUUAUCUCCUGAGAAAUCACAAUUGGUGUUGAGGUCGUUGAUGUUGCUGCUGUUAUGCUGUAGCUAGCUGCAAGAGUUUUACUGCUGCGGGUUAGAAAUUGAUGGUUGCUGCAUCCCAAAAUUCUGUGGAUUUCGAUAAAUCGAGUGACACAGGUUUGAAGACGCAAUUUGAAGCUGCGAGCGAUUAGUAGGUUUUCUUUAUGGUUUUAAUUGCUUUCAUAGAGUCCCCUCGCUCUUGUCCUUUGAAGUUUUAUUUUAUUAGAGGGGUAGGUAUUGUAUUUUGGUUUAUAUGACUUCCUAUGUAUAAGAAUUACUAAUAAUAAUACCUCUGUGAUUGUUAUUACUAUUUGCAAUGUUUAUCCUUGAUGCAUGUCUUUAAUGAAUAAAAACAAAAUUUUCUAGCAUUUCCUUAAAACUAAAACGCGAAAUCGAUACAAAGGCUCAGUAAUUAAGUAGUUAAUAUUAGAAAAGGUCACGUAACGUUCUUUCUAGUAGAAAUACCCUGACUUAAGCAAGGUAUUUUGCUGGAAGGGAUGUUACAAGGUCUAACCUUGUCUGUGGUAUUCUGAGUAGGAUUCAAUGAUUGAAUGACUGUGACGUGCUUCAAACUCCUGAGGGCGGGGCGUUAGUGACAGACGCAAAAGAAUCACUGGAUUCUAUUCCGGCCUGAUUGAGAACCGACAGAUGAAUUUCGCUAUGCUGUGACAGAGCAUAUGCAAUCGCUUUCAAUGAGAGGAUGGGAGGUAGCCACUGACAAUGGUGAAACCCUACACGAGCUUGCCAUGGAAAGGAGUAAGAAGGAUUGGAUGAAGACAGUAGGAAAGCAGAGAGACGGAAGGGAAGGCAUCUUCAUGCGCUUAUCUGAAGUUCCUACCAAUGAAUUACAUAAGUAUCUCUAUCUUUAUCUUUUAUGUUAUUUUCGUUCAUCACCAUACCCAUUUGAGUCUGCCUGACUGAGAUUUACAAGAUGACCAUAGCUUGCUUCAUACCACCAAUCUCCGUGGGAUCGACCCUUACUCGCGUAAGGUUUAUUACUUGGACGACCCAGUGCACUUGCUGGUUAGUUGUGCGAAGUUGUGUUUAUGCCAUGGUAUUGAGCACCAAGUCUUUGGAGCAAUUACUAGGGAUUGUUUGUGUUUUGAAAAGUAGUGAUCACAAUUUCGUGCACCAAGUUUUUGGCGCCGUUGCCGGGGAUUGUUCUUGAGUAUGGACAACUGACGGUUCAUCUUGUUGCUUAGAUUAGGCAUUUAUUUUUUUUUCGAAGUUCUUGAAGAUGAAUUCUAGAGUUUCAUGAUGAUUUGUUGAAAUCUGGUUGGCUGUGAAGCCAUGUCUAAUUUCAUUGGACCGAGGUUUCAACUUAUCAUCACAAGAGCUUGUUGAUUUUUUAUCAAUCUUGCUUUUGGAGCAGUGAUCUGCUAAGGCUUGGCUGGCCUUUGGCCAUGUCUAGUGUUUUGGACCGAAGCUUUCUUUGAAAGCUUGGCUGGCUGUGAAGCCAUGUCUAAUUCCUGGACCGGAGUCUUAGACUAGCAUUGCACUGAUUCCUGGAAUUCUCAUUAAGAAUUUUGAUAUCUUUUUCCACUUAAUUUUCGAAAAUCACAAAAAAAAAAAAUUCACAAAAACCAUAAAAACCAAAAAUAUUUGAUGUUUCUUGCUUGAGUCUAGUGUCUCAUCCUAAGUUUGGUGUCAAUUGCAUGCAUUCAUUCAUGUGUCUUAAAGAUCUUCAAGUAAUUCUUGAUGAUUUCUUACUCUGAUCUUUGAAUUCUUUUGACUUGAGUGUUUAUGUGUCUCAUAUAGUGUCAAUAGUAUACAAACUGCUAAGUUUGGUGUCUUGCAUGCAUUGUUAUUUGAUUCUUGUUGCAUUUUGAUUAUUAAAAAUCCAAAAAUAUUUUUUUAUUUGUGUCUUUUCAAGUCAAUAAUACAGAGAAUUGAAGAUUCAGAACAUACUGCAGAGAAAUUAUACAGAAAAAGCUGGGCAUUCAAAAAUGCCCAGUGAAGAAGGCAGACUGGCGUUUAAACGCCAGCCAGGGUACCUGGUUGGGCGUUUAACGCCCAAAAAGGGUGCAUUUUGGGCGUUAAACGCCCAGAAUGGAUACCAUUCUGGGCGUUUAACGCCAGGAUGGUGCUAGGGGGAAGAUUUUGUUUUCAAAAUCAAUUUUUUUUCAAGUUUUCAAAGUUUUUCAAAAUCAAAUCUUUUUCAAAUCAUAUCUUUUCAA